rnacentral:rRNA from 1 species
GACGAACGCUGGCGGCGUGCUUAACACAUGCAAGUCGAACGAAGAGCGACGGAAGCUUGCUUCUAUCAAUCUUAGUGGCGAACGGGUGAGUAACGCGUAAUCAACCUGCCCUUCAGAGGGGGACAACAGUUGGAAACGACUGCUAAUACCGCAUACGAUCUAACCUCGGCAUCGAGGAUAGAUGAAAGGUGGCCUCUACAUGUAUGCUAUCACUGAAGGAGGGGAUUGCGUCUGAUUAGCUAGUUGGAGGGGUAACGGCCCACCAAGGCGAUGAUCAGUAGCCGGUCUGAGAGGAUGAACGGCCACAUUGGGACUGAGACACGGCCCAGACUCCUACGGGAGGCAGCAGUGGGGAAUCUUCCGCAAUGGACGAAAGUCUGACGGAGCAACGCCGCGUGAGUGAUGACGGCCUUCGGGUUGUAAAGCUCUGUUAAUCGGGACGAAAGGCCUUCUUGCGAAUAGUGAGAAGGAUUGACGGUACCGGAAUAGAAAGCCACGGCUAACUACGUG